rnacentral:rRNA from 1 species
UACAGGGGGGGCAAGCGUUGUUCGGAAUUACUGGGCGUAAAGGGCGCGUAGGCGGCCUGAUAAGUCGGGGGUGAAAUCCUGUGGCUUAACCACAGGGCUGCCUCCGAGACUGUCGGGCUCGAGCACAGUAGAGGCAGGUGGAAUUCCCGGUGUAGCGGUGGAAUGCGUAGAGAUCGGGAAGAACAUCGGUGGCGAAGGCGGCCUGCUGGGCUGUUGCUGACGCUGAGGCGCGAAAGCGUGGGGAGCAAACAGG